CCUGAAGUUUUGAAACGUUUAGCGCUACUGAGAGCCGAGAUACACACACUUGAAAUCCCCAGUCGACCGCGACGCGACCGCGCCGCUCGCUGCCGGCUUUGAGCGCGUAUACCUCAGUUCAAACUUGACUGAUUCAAUUGAAAUUUUUUUACAAGACAAAUGAACACAUAAUACACAUUUUUGCAAAAAUUAUGAAUUUAUAUACUGACCGCGACGCGACAGCGCCGCACGAACUUAUUUUCAAGCACUGAAAACUCCCAAAACCAAAAGUCAAAAAAGAUUCUCCCCGGCCGGGAAUUG
ensembl:ncRNA K03H6.10 ncRNA